AUGCCGCCGGGCGUCAAGUGUGUGCCCCGCGACCAGUUUGUAUUGGAUCUGGAAAUGGGACGUGAGGGGUUAAGGGCGAGUGAGGUUGACAGGAUUAAGAUGGGCCUUGAAUGGAUGCUCAAGCCGGCGAGCAGCAGUCAGCCUGAGGGCAGCCGUGUGAAGAAACCUAACCCAAAAGAAAUGAACGCUUAUUUGAGGGACAAUGGUACUGGAUAUCCGGAUGAAGCCACAGGUGCAAUGCAGCCAGUAGUUGAAGAGAGAUGGGGCUCAUUGGGCCAAUUAGCUGCAUCAGUAUCAACGUACAGAGUUGCCUCUUCUUACGCUCAUUUGCAGUCCAUUAGGGGUAGAAAAGCUGGACAAGCAGACAACUCCGAGAAAUCAUUCGAAGUUGAUUGGAAGGAGGAUCGGCAAGGUGUCUCCUCUCGGGAUCAUGCCAUGAGAAAACUCAGAUCUGAUUCUGUACCUUGGAAGAAAAAUAGACAUAAUAUAUCUUCUGAGGAUCAAACGCUCAUCUCGUCAGCACUAGCAAGCAUCAAUAAAUUUGCUCACGACGGGAGCUUUAUGGAGAAAAUUAGAGAGUUCAAAGAUACAUCAUCUUCAGUGAGCACUCUAAAGCUAAAUGCAAAACAGUUAGCUGCGAAGGUUCUGCAGCUCCGAAUGAAAGGCAAACACGAAGAAGCUGACCAACUGUCGCAUGAGCCUGCAACAAAAACAGAUGAUAAGAAUGGUUUGGAGGAGAUUCACAACUUCAAGAAGUGCUUCCUGAAGAUGUUCGCGCGGCAGGACAAGAUUGUGGUUUUCAUGGAGACUGUCAUAAGCUUGGUCAAGCAACAGAGACAUGGCAUGAUUGAAUGCAUCCCUGUCCCAUGCAAAAUGCAGCAUGAGAUGAAGAAGCUUAUUCCAACGAGUGGUAACCUGCGGCAAGUCAUCCCAGAGAACUUCGCCUGCUUCCAUGUAGAGUUUGAUGAUGAGAGCAAGUUCAGUGCAUGUUUCAGACUGAAGGUUAUCAGAGGUGUUCUCCGGUUGCCGAGGGAGGACAUGCACCGUCGCCGGAGGCACGAAUCCAUGAAUAACCAGAAGCAAGCCGUUGCCAGCUUCAUGAGGGAUUUGGAGCCCUUCAACUGGACGAAGCAGCUCAAGUAG
rnacentral:rRNA from 1 species